GGUAUUUUUGCAUUUCCUUUCUGAGAUGCUGCCUUGAAUGCAUCUGCCAGAUAUGGCCUCCAUCACUGCCUAAGUGGGAUCUUCAGGAGUUUGAGAUCCUGAUAGACCAGCUUCCCUUGCUUAGCUAUUUCCUAAUCCUCUUAGAUGUGUUACGAACAGUCCUUGGAAGACAGAGACCCACUUGUCAAACACCAACUGUGCACAUAAGGCAAAGGAACUGUCAGUGCAAUGCGAAUGGACUUUUUUUUUUUUACUGUUAUGACUUCUCUAGCUUCAGACGGAGAGAGUAACCUGAAGGGAAAGCAGCUUGGUGGGCAGCUUUGUCGUACAUAUGCUUGAACAACUCGUCUUGACUGGGGUAAGUGAUUUUGAUGGAUCAGUAUUUUGUGUUUUCUAUUAUGGCUAAAUGGAGGAUUUAGUGCCUGGGCUGGUGAAUCGUCUAUGAAGAUUUUUUAGGAUUUGUUUGUUUUUCAGAUAAAGGGUCUAUCAAUUGGUCUGCUUGCAGCGAUGGGCUUCAUCCUGCAAUGAGUGCCUUAUAGGCAGAACCGUGCCCCCAUUCAGAGUCCUGCCUAAGCCAAUACGGCUCUCUAUGCAGGUGAUGUGCUCUGUCCCCAUGAUGCUGGUUGCAGGAUCGUAGGGGGCUGAUUUAAGCUCCACCUGUGUUAGAGCUUUGAACCUGAGGAUAUUUCUGCUCCUCUCACCCCUCU